UACUUGUUCGAAAGCAGAAAAGCGUGUCCUUGCUGCCCAGAAGGCUAACGGUGUUCUGGGCUGUGUGAGGCAAAGUUUCACCAGCAGGCAGAGGGAGGUGAUCCUUCCCCUCCGCUGAGUGCUAGUGAGGCCUCACCUGCAGUGCUGAGUCCACUUCUGGGUUCCCCAUUACAAGAAAGUAAUGGACAUACUGGGGGAAGUCCAGCGAAGGGCUGUCAGAUGAUGGACUGGAGCACCUCUCCCAUGAUGAGAGGCUUGGAGAUCUUCCAAAGCCACCUGGACAUGGUCCUGGGCAGCCUGCUCUGGGUGUCCCUGCUUGGGCAGGGGCUGGAGCUGCUGGGCUCCUGAGGGCCUGCCAGCCUCAGCCAGUCUGGGGUUCUGGGGAUUUUUUCUGAGAAACGAAUAGAUACACAACAAUUCUGUGUGGGUCAGAAGGAUAUUUUCAGUGUGAUAAUUACACACAGACCACAAAGGGCAAUGGCUCAUUAAGAGAUUGUUGUAGCCAGGGGGCCCACAAGACUGCAGCAGAGGUGGGCAUCAGAAAGUGCCUGACUUACUGAAGUACUGUUAGAAAGGGUAUUUUACUACUUUUAGUUGUUAGUUACAAGUGUAAGGGUGCUUACAGAUUUGGUAAGAUCUCUAAGACUAAGAUAAUUCUAGUGGAAAAAGCCCUACAGGAAAAAAAAAUCCUAGUUUAACUGCUGAAAAUCAUUGUUGACUGUAACCAUAGGAGAAAAACAGAACAGCCUAGAAAAAGCUGAGGCAUGUGAUGAUGGACUUACAAAUAAUUACUUAGGUGUUCAACUUUAUAUCCUGUGAGUAAUCUGAGUGAUUCAACAAACCUCUUCACAGAGCAUAAAGUGGGAUUUAUUCCAGAGGAUUCCAAUCCAUCUCCAUGGAGCACCGUCAAAGUGUGACCGCUAACAGCAUAUGGAGAAGAAAAUUCUGGCCAAGAGCAUUAUAAAAUUCCUCUGAUCCUAUAUAAAAGGACUGGUGCUAUCCACAAAGAACUGAGAGAGUCUUGUUUUCUAGGGUUUUAUCCAAGAUCCUCCCCUUCAGCUUCAGAGCCAGAACACGCUUUAAUUGAACAGGAAACUCUCAGGAGCUGAUGCGUGGUUCCUGGAUAUGGAAAUAUUGUGACUCUGAAAUGUGUGCUGCCAAGUCUUAUCUUAUCUGAUCACACCCAUCAGAUCCUUCUGGAGAUGAAUGUUGUCAAAGAUGAAGCCAACAGAGUUUCUAUAUUUAGUUUACUAAAUGGUUGGUUCAAAUACCAAUAAUAGAAUCAACAGUGGCUGAUUAAUCCCUUC